UGACCACCAGCGGUGUAGUCUUGGUACAUAUACUGCAUCCUGAGAGAUAAAGCAGCAAGGACUAGCAGCAUGGAUGUGAAAUAUGGUCAUGCUCUUAACCUGAUCUCCAGAAAGAUUUCUAUAUCUCCUGAAGCAAGAAGAGUAUUUUGAUGGAGCACAAUUGAUGUAGAUUCAAACUACUCUCCUGUGAGGAUUUGUUCUGCUAUACAUUUUCCUUUCAUUUCCCAUCCAGGUUGUGUUCAAAUGAUAGGUGGCAUUGCAAAUUAUGACCAGUUUAAAUCUUGUUUUAGUGAGGUAUGAUUUGCUCAUUAACUUUUAUUGCUCAUUUCAUUAACCCGUACAUUGCUGGCGGUUACUAUCUAAUACCCAAUAUAGAUAUGUAACGGACUAGGUUUUGUUUGAACGUGAUACAGUUGGGUUAAGCUUCUCAAAUGCCUAGCAUCAAUUAAGCUUGACCACCAAACUGAAACUGAAGAAUAUAAAAAGUUAAGUUAAGCAUCCGAAGCUUACGGACGGAAA